rfam:Triticum urartu cultivar G1812 contig524042, whole genome shotgun sequence.
UAUGUACUCCCUCCGUUCCGAAUUACUCGUCGUAGAAUUGGAUGUAUCUAGAUCCAUUCUAGUUCUAGAUUCAUUUCUGCGACGAGUAAUUUGGAACGGAGGGAGUACAUC